UCCUGUUUCCUACUUGUUGUUUUUCGUUUAUGGUCUCUUUAUUCAUUACUCUUCUUUUUAUUACUCUUGGCUGCUUUGAUUCCUUUUAUACAACUUCCUAUCGACUGAGUUUUUUGUUGUCUUUCCUUUUUUCACAGGUUUUCUUUGACAUACGUGUCUUGUUUUCAGAGAGAUGUAGCUCACACUUCUCAUUAUGUGAUUAGUUAUUUGGAAAUAAUUUACUGGAAAAGAGGAAAAAAGAUAAACAAAGUUGGAGUGAGAGGGUUGGAAAUGGGCAGAGGAGAUGAAAUGCUAGGUAGGACGAUAGAAACACAAGAAAGCAAGAAGAACUGACCUAUCAGCACAAAUGCAAACAAAAACACAAGAUGAUAAAAUGGAAAGUAAAAAGAUAAUUUUGUGUUGUUCACCAGUCAUUUCUGUGCAGCUUUUGCCAUGCAGGUGUAACCCCCAUAAACUAUGUUGAUCUGUCUGUAUGUUUAAUGUGUUUGUUUGUUAGUUCUUAGAAUGUCCUGUAGGGGGCACUAGACCCACGUUUCUCCUGUGUUGGUACGAGAAGAAGAGGGAAGAAGAAAAAAGAAAUGGCAGUCUAAGCACAUUUCAGCAGAAGUAGAUAAGUUACUACGCAUAAGUGCUGCUGUGAUAUGAGAGAAAUCUGUUUAUUUUGAACUGGAUAAUGUACAUUCUGUUCUGAGAGUUCUCCGGUUGUUUUUUUUUUUUGGACGACCGAUACCUGAACGAUCCAGUGGUUCCAGAACCAGGAGGGUUCCACCGCCAUCUUUGUGACUCGGACUGAAGCCGGGAAAGACGGAGGGACUGGUGCUGCUGGAGCUGGAUGUUUUGCGUGGACAACAGAUAAGCUUAUUGAACAAAAAGGGGGGCCCAAAUCUUUUUUUUUUUAUUCCACAAACUAUUUGUUCAUGAACAUUUUCAUAACGGACAACUUAUGUGCACAUUGACUGAACUGACUGACCGAACUGUUAUAUUCAAGGACUAACUGGAAUAUGUCAUUUCUUUUGUUGAAAUAAGCUUUAAAACUACUGUUUAAAAAA